AUUGAACGCUGGCGGAAUGCUUUACACAUGCAAGUCGAACGGCAGCACGGGUGCUUGCACCUGGUGGCGAGUGGCGAACGGGUGAGUAAUACAUCGGAACGUACCCAGUUGUGGGGGAUAACUAACCGAAAGGUUAGCUAAUCCCGCAUACGACCUGAGGGUGAAAGCGGGGGACCGUAAGGCCUCGCGCAAUCGGAGCGGCCGAUGUCUGAUUAGCUAGUUGGUAGGGUAAAGGCCUACCAAGGCGACGAUCAGUAGCUGGUCUGAGAGGAUGAUCAGCCACACUGGAACUGAGACACGGUCCAGACUCCUACGGGAGGCAGCAGUGGGGAAUUUUGGACAAUGGGCGAAAGCCUGAUCCGGCCAUUCCGCGUGAGUGAAGAAGGCCUUCGGGUUGUAAAGCUCUUUCGGCAGGGAAGAAACGGCCUAGGUUAAUACCUUGGGCUAAUGACGGUACCUGAAGAAGAAGCACCGGCUAACUACGUGCCAGCAGCCGCCGUAA
rnacentral:rRNA from 1 species